AUUCCAAUCAGUCUUUGUCUCCUUUCUUUAUAUGUAUAUAUCUCUGAAAGACGUGCUAGCUUCAUUCAGAGAGAAGCAGCUUUUUGGAAACAACCCUGUUCAUCCUUCUUCCCACACCAGCAUGGCUGAAACAGGACAAAGGAGGACUCUGAACACAAGCUGGGAUAUGAUCAAGUCUAUUCAAAAUGUCACUGCAACAAAUCUUAAUCUGAAGCCUAAGUGGGUGGCACAGCUCCAUGGCGACUGUCUACAUUCUGAUCUGAGGACUCAGACACAUUCCAGCUGCUAGAUCACCAACCCUGCAUUUCUAGGUCCUUCUCACAGGGUUACUAUGGAGACUCAGAGGAAAGCACUUACCACAUCCCAAGAAGGCAAUAAAUGGUAUGAAAACACAA